GACGAACGCUGGCGGCGUGCUUAACACAUGCAAGUCGAACGGUGAAGCGCCUCCCUUUUUGGUGGGUGUGGAUGAGUGGCGAACGGGUGAGUAACACGUGAGUAACCUGCCCCCUUCUUCUGGAUAACCGCAUGAAAGUGUGGCUAAUACGGGAUAUUCUGGGUCUGUCGCAUGAUGGGUCUGGGAAAGAUAUUGUUUCGGUGGGGGCUGGGCUCGCGGCCUAUCAGCUUGUUGGUGGGGUGAUGGCCUACCAAGGCGGUGACGGGUAGCCGGCCGGGGAGGGUGAACGGUCACAGUGGGACUGAGACACGGCGCAGACUCCUACGGGAGGCAGCAGUGAGGAAUAUUGCACAAUGGGCGCAAGGCUGAUGCAGCGACGCCGCGUGAGGGAUGGAGGCCGUCGGGUUGUGAACCUCUUUCGCCAGUGAAGCAGGCCUGCCUCGUUUGUGGGUGGGUUGACGGUAGCUGGAUAAGAAGCGCCGGCUAACUACGUG
rnacentral:rRNA from 1 species